GAGAACCAAGAUAUCCAUUGUUAACAGUUGUUCGGUUUUUUUACCCAAUGUAUUACAUUGAGCUUCACAUUAAACUGUGGGGUUAUUAGGGGGCAUGGGGACCCUUUGGCAAAGCUCCUGCCCGAGUGUACGGUCUACAGGAAUCGUAGAAGCGCUAUCCUUGCACAAUCAAUGACACUUUCCGACACUGACUGCUUGGGGAAACAUUGCCUAUAGAACUACCGCUCGAUUGUAACUGUUCCAAUGUUCGCACGUAGCCAGAGGUCUCUAAAUCACUACAACUUUCCGGGCUAUGAUUGAUCAGAGAUUGCGAACUACGCGGGUUACAAGAUAACAAGGUUUCCGUAGGUGAACCGGCGGAAGGAUCAUUAACACGUAUCCAAACGUUAAAACCCCCCCCGUGAACCUUCAUCCUACGACUU
rnacentral:misc_RNA from 1 species